UCCGUAGGCGGGUAAUUAAGUCAGAGGUGAAAUCCCACAGCUUAACUGUGGAACUGCCUUAGAUACUGGUUAUCUUGAGUUUUAGUGAAGUAGAUAGAAUGUGUAGUGUAGCGGUGAAAUGCAUAGAUAUUACACAGAAUACCGAUUGCGAAGGCAGUCUACUAACUAUCAACUGACGCUAAUGGACGAAAGCGUGGGGAGCGAACAGGAUUAGAUACCCUGGUAGUCC
rnacentral:rRNA from 1 species